CCUACGGGAGGCAGCAGUGGGGAAUUUUGGACAAUGGGCGCAAGCCUGAUCCAGCAAUGCCGCGUGAGUGAAGAAGGCCUUCGGGUUGUAAAGCUCUUUUGUCAGGGAAGAAACGGUGGAGGUUAAUACCUUCUGCUAAUGACGGUACCUGAAGAAUAAGCACCGGCUAACUACGUGCCAGCAGCCGCGGUAAUACGUAGGGUGCAAGCGUUAAUCGGAAUUACUGGGCGUAAAGCGUGCGCAGGCGGUUGUGCAAGACAGAUGUGAAAUCCCCGGGCUCAACCUGGGAAUUGCAUUUGUGACUGUACGGCUAGAGUGUGUCAGAGGGGGGUAGAAUUCCACGUGUAGCAGUGAAAUGCGUAGAGAUGUGGAGGAAUACCGAUGGCGAAGGCAGCCCCCUGGGAUAACACUGACGCUCAUGCACGAAAGCGUGGGGAGCAAACAGGAUUAGAUACCCUGGUAGUCCACGCCCUAAACGAUGUCUACUAGUUGUCGGGUCUUUAUUGACUUGGUAACGCAGCUAACGCGUGAAGUAGACCGCCUGGGGAGUACGGUCGCAAGAUUAAAAACUCAAAAGUAUAGUCGGACGAGAGAGAGCGACGACGACGACGAGGAGGAGGNG
rnacentral:rRNA from 1 species